UACGUAGAGUGCAAGCGUUGUCCGGAAUUAUUGGGCGUAAAGAGCUCGUAGGCGGUCUGUCGCGUCUGCUGUGAAAACUCGGGGCUUAACCCCGGGCCUGCAGUGGGUACGGGCAGACUAGAGUGCGGUAGGGGAGACUGGAAUUCCGUGGUGAUAGCGGUGAAAUGCGCAGAUAUCAGGAGGAACACCGGUGGCGAAGGCGGUUCUCUGGGCCUGUACUGACGCUGGAGGAGCGAAAGCGUGGGGAGCAAACAGG
rnacentral:rRNA from 1 species